rnacentral:misc_RNA from 1 species
UGCGGAAGGAUCAUUGUCGAAGCCUAUAAAGCAAAAUGACUCGUGAACGUGUAACAAAAGCUGAGUGUUGUAAGGAUCGGGCUUUUGUUUGUGACCUAUGGCACCCUGUCGAUUUGCCACUAUGGUUGUCUCUUUGGAGAUUCCUUGAUGUCAAAUGGACGCAACAACAAACCCCGGCACGGCAUGUGCCAAGGAAAACUAAACUUUAAGAACGCCUUAUGCCAUGUUGCCCCGUUUGUGGUGUGUGCAUGGGAUGUGGCUUCUUUAUAACCACAAACGACUCUCGGCAACGGAUAUCUUGGCUCACGCAUCGAUGAAGAACGUAGCAAAAUGCGAUACUUGGUGUGAAUUGCAGAAUCCCGUGAACCAUCGAGUUUUUGAACGCAAGUUGCGCCCGAAGCCAUUCGGCCGAGGGCACAUCUGCCUGGGCGUCACGCAUCGCAUCGCUCCUCACCAUGCCUCUUCAGAGGGGUGUGUGUGAUAGGGGCGGAGACUGGUCUCCCGUGCCUAUGGUGUGGUUGGCCAAAAUAUGAGUUUCCUUUUGGUGGGCACACGGCAAGUGGUGGUUGACAAAACCUUCGUCUCGUGUUGUGUGUCCUGAAAUAAAUGGGAAGACUUCGUAAAGUACCCUAACGUGUCGUCUUGUGCCGAUACUUCGACCGCGACCCCAGGUCAGGUGGGACUACCCGCUGAGUUUAAGCAUAUCAAUA